CAGUGUGGAAAGGAAAGGAGAUUCUACAUCUGGUUAUGUUUCUCAUAAAAAUGUUCCCAGGGGCAGAAGCCUAUCUCUUUUAUAUUAAACAUAUAAAGAACCCUCUUGACUUCUCAUUAGCCCCUUAAAAAAUAUCACGGUGAUUUCCACGAUAUUAAAAAGGCAGAAUUUCAAGGGACAUCGAGUGUCGAGGGGCAGACAGAGAAUGGUGCCUUCACUUGCCUCUGGCCACGAUGGCUGGCUGUUGAUCGAAUUUUGUUUUUAAAUUAUUCAAAUCAGACAUUUAUGGUAAAAUUCAUAUUCAGCACUGACUUGAGGGCACUUGAGUGUUUCAGCCGGUUUUGUCUACCGGUGAAGAAUGCAAUUAAACAGGGUACCUCACUCCCCGAGGGGGGUGGCUGGAAAACAGAAGGUCACCUCCCAGAACUUCCUCAUUUCAUUAGUCUGGAAUUUAAUUUUGACGCUGACCUGCCAAGGAUUAAAAGGUAUGAAGAACCUUGGGUGAAAGGCCACACACCCAUUGAAAUGAUUGAAAGAUCUCCUCCCCUCUUGACCCUCUUAACUUUCUUCUUCCCUUCUGUCCUUAUUCUCUGAGACUCUGCCCUUCAAGGCAGGUCCUGUGGUGUUUCACCAAAGGAGAGAAGUGCUUCCUCAUCUGGGUUUUAGAUCUUCUUUUUUUUUCUGAUAGCUACCUGCUGGGAACAAUUUCAGAUCUGCUCCCAGAAUAUUAGUGAAUUCAUCUCAUCUGUGUUGCUUGUGACCCAGCGAGAUGGCCACAGACACAUUCAUGGUCAGAGGCAUGAGAAAUUCCAGACGUUAAGCAGAGUUGUUCAAAAUCAUCGGAUCGGUGUCCAGGGCCCACGGGGAGGGGUUGUAGCUGGUCCAAUCAUCCACGUUUCUGAAGACGCUGAGCUGAUGAAUCUGAGCACCGCCAGAGACCGGGGAGGGGAGAGGACGCACUUACUCGUGGGUUCCGUCCAGCUGGGGCUCUCCACCAUCUGGUCUGUGUUCCUUAUAAAAUCCUUACUGGUCAAGAUGUCAUUGGAUUGUUU